rnacentral:ncRNA from 1 species
UUCGCGAGGGCGAAUCUGAAGGAAGUCCGUGGGCAAAUCUCUGGUCUGACGAACAGAAAUCACAUACAAGGCAUUAAUUAAGGAUAAGAUUGCUAUACAAAUCGAAGUCCAAUAACUACUCGAAAUUAAUUAAUGUAAAUGUGGCAGAUAGAUGGAGAGGAAGAUUG